ACUCCUACGGGAGGCAGCAGUGGGGAAUAUUGCACAAUGGGGGAAACCCUGAUGCAGCCAUGCCGCGUGUGUGAAGAAGGCCUUCGGGUUGUAAAGCACUUUCAGUAGGGAGGAAGGUAGUGUAGUUAACACCUGCACUAUUUGACGUUACCUACAGAAGAAGCACCGGCUAACUCCGUGCCAGCAGCCGCGGUAAUACGGAGGGUGCGAGCGUUAAAUCGGAAUUACUGGGCGUAAAGCGCAUGCAGGCGGCCUGUUAAGUCAGAUGUGAAAGCCCGGGGCUUAACCUCGGAAUUGCAUUUGAAACUGGCAGGCUAGAGUCUUGUAGAGGGGGGUAGAAUUUCAGGUGUAGCGGUGAAAUGCGUAGAGAUCUGAAGGAAUACCAGUGGCGAAGGCGGCCCCCUGGACAAAGACUGACGCUCAGAUGCGAAAAGCGUGGGGAGCAAAACAGGAUUAGAUACCCUGGUAGGAUAGCG
rnacentral:rRNA from 1 species